ACUCCUACGGGAGGCAGCAGUGGGGAAUAUUGCACAAUGGGCGCAAGCCUGAUGCAGCCAUGCCGCGUGUAUGAAGAAGGCCCUAGGGUUGUAAAGUACUUUCAGUCGGGAGGAAGGCGUUGAUGCUAAUAUCAUCAACGAUUGACGUUACCGACAGAAGAAGCACCGGCUAACUCCGUGCCAGCAGCCGCGGUAAUACGGAGGGUGCAAGCGUUAAUCGGAAUUACUGGGCGUAAAGCGCACGCAGGCGGUUGAUUAAGUUAGAUGUGAAAUCCCCGGGCUUAACCUGGGAAUGGCAUCUAAGACUGGUCAGCUAGAGUCUUGUAGAGGGGGUAGAAUUCCAUGUGUAGCGGUGAAAUGCGUAGAGAUGUGGAGGAAUACCGGUGGCGAAGGCGGCCCCCUGGACAAAGACUGACGCUCAGGUGCGAAAGCGUGGGAGCAAACAGGAUUAGAUACCCUGGUAGGCUCUG
rnacentral:rRNA from 1 species